UUGAUGCCACAGCUUCUUUAAAGGAUCCUGCUAGCAGAGUAAUAUUUCACUGUCUUCAAACAACAGAUUUUAGCCCUUAUCACAACCUGUCAUCCACAAAUAUACAAUUAUGCACAAUAUCCUUAAACCUUGACUCCAUGCAAACAUAAGAUUCCAUUCCUAUCCAUCAAAGUUCCAAUGGUGGCAUGCAGCUUCAAAAGACAUUGGGAGAUACACAAUGCAUUUGAAGUAGCCAAAAAGGUUGCAUUUUUAGCUCAAUUGUUACAAGAGUUUAGUAUAAAAAAAAUGAGAAAUCAUUUUUCACACAAGAAAACGAAGUUUCAAAUUAUUUCAGCUUAGAUUUGGAACAGUUCCUAAGAGGCUUUGCAAUGGGUCGUGUGGGUGCAGUUCUCAUAACUUUCUUCACGUCAUACUUGAUAGAUGUCAAGACACAAAUUAAUGCAAUCAACAUUAUGGGAUACACAUACACAGCUUUUGUAGGAUCAGAUUUUGCUGGUUUUCCCAAGAUCCCUUCCUUGACAAGACCACAGAUUACCAGUAGUGUCCCAAACAUGCUCAUCCUUCCAGGUUUUAGAAGGCCCACAAGUGCUCCUGCCACAUAGAAGUAGCUUCCAGCAAAAACUUGUACAAGACCCAGAUAAAAGAGAUGAGAUUACAACACAAUAUCAUUUUUGACUAGAUUGGGCUUAUGGAAGGACACAAAAUUGGAUAACUAUUUGAAGCUAAACUUGCGCAGAACUUGCACGGUAGUGAAGAGUAUUCUAGAACCAUCUUGUAGCCUAUUAUUGGAUGUUCAUUUUAUUUUCUCUUUUGCUAACAAAUUUGAUUGCAUAUAUGUUAGUGAAGAUAAGAAAACAGUUAAAAUGACUCACUAAGAUGGGUUCUAGGAAUAAUUCAACAUAUAUGAAUUUGUCCACUGUCACAUAUGCAGAGUCAAUUGUACUUGGAAGGAGAUAGUAGAAGAGUUACAUACUUGCUUGACAUGAUAGUUUUUCAUUAAUUCAGCCAAUAACAAUGACAUGGAAUUGCAUUCUGAUGGACUGGUGGUGUGCACGUGUGUGUGAGUGUGCAUUUUUUGCCUUACGAUCAAUAGAGAAAGCUUUUAUUGUUUAUACAUGUAUAUAUAUAAAAACAAUAUCAUCAUGCCAAAUAGUAAACUAAUAGAACAAGAGAACAAGGUUAGAACAAACAAACUGCUAUACUUUUAUUUUCCAACCAAAGUUUAUGAUACCUGUAUCAACAAAUAGAUUUAAUGAGGUAGAAAACGAGUGUGAUAAAAAGAAUCCCAACCUCAUUAUCAUUUUUGUGCGUUAUUCUUCUUGUAACAAAACAGAACAAAUAAUAAAUAAAACAAAUAUGUAAUAAUUAUCAUCAUUAGUCAUUUAAUAAUAAUAUAUGUUAUAUUAUUAUACCUUUGAUGAAUCACCACCAAAAAGUGUUUCCAAUUGAGAUGGCCAUACUUCUUUAUUUCUCUCACAUAUAUCAACAUCAUUAUCAUCAAGAAGGCAACUGCUUGAGUCCAAACUACGAAGUGUUAGCUCUAGUUGUGGACAUUUAUUCCUUGUGUGACCUUCCAUUCUGCAGUUGCCACAUUUUCAUGGCUUUUUUUUCUCUUUAGUUUUAAGUCCAACUUUGCCCUUAACUUUCACUCUAGUAGGAUCAUGAACAUGUUCUGUCAAAUUAGAAAUUCCAUCUGUAUUGACUUUGCACAUCUCUUCAUAUCAUCUUGUUAAACUAGCUAUUCAACUCCUCGCUUUGUUAAAUGUCUUGGCUAAUUAAGAAGUGACAUGACAUAACCUAUUACAGUGAGAGCUUAGAAAAGCGUACCGUAGCAUUGUUUGAUACUUAGGAUCAACAUUAUCGUCCACAACUACAGGUGCAUCAUCUUUAGCAUUUUUUGUCCAUCUUUUCAUUAUGAGAUUCAAAGGGAUCCUAUUUAAUUGCUCUAAAAUCAUCAAAUGAAUGAUAUGUGGACAUGGUAUACUGUUUGUUUCAAAUUUAACACAUAAGCAUUUUAUAUUUUGAUCAUCUAUAUGAAACUCCACACAUAUUCGCUUGGAAAGAUCUCCAUACUUCAUCAAAUGGUACACCCGUAUAGAUUUUUUUUUUGAAAUUUCAUUUGCAUUGAUAAACGAGAACUAUAGUUUGCCUCUUUACAAGGAUUUUGUCAAAGUUAUGCCCCGUACAAAAUAAAGGGGUAUAACCACACAAAAUCCUUUUCACCACCAGGUGAUCAAAAAACAAUAUCGGCAAAAGGACCCUAUACACUUGCCAUAAUGAACAAAAGAAAAAACAACCAGCAUGACCCAAUCACCUCCUCAAAGUCCUUAGGCUUAGAAAAAAUAAGAGUCGUUCCCCUAUUAAGCCAAAAAUCCUAUUCAACCAAUAAACACCUAUAGUCAAAAGAUAGAGGAUGAAAUCACCCCUAUAGAUAGAUCCUUUGCAACUACACCUGGAGAGAAAAGGGGGGACAUUGAAAAAGCUCUCCUCAGUUACUAGCAUUAUUAUUAGAUGCCUCCCCCCAAACGUUGAGCAGAUUUUCAACCCUUUUAUCCUUGUUUUCGCCAAGUUGUCAGCUUGUUAGUUGGCUUCCUUGAAGUACACCCGUAUAGAUGGCUCAUCAUCGAUGCAACAUUCAUGAUAAUACAAUUGUUGUAGACACAUCUCAUCUAUAAACUUUUUGAAUGUUCUUCUUGUAUAAACACUUGAAGCAUGCUUUUCAAUAUCUUUGAAAAUUUGGCUUGAAACUGGCUCUGUAUGGAUGGAUAUGUAAUCUUCACCAAUCUCAUUAUUUCAAAUAUUUUUAAUUCCAUCUUCAAUUGCUCUAACAAAUUCCAUUAAUGUCUUCCUCUCUUUUGCAAGAGAAGCUAUAAAAGAAUUCAAACCUUUGCAACGUGAUGUACUCGUAAUUGUUUUGAAACAAUGACCACUCAAGUGUGAUUGGGCCCAUAUAUGCUUCUUUUUAUACAUCUCAUCUAUCCGAUGUCCUUGUAAUGCAAACUUUUUUACCAUCUCUUUCCAUUCUUUUUCAAACUUAUCAAUCGUCCACCAAGAUUUCGUGCAAGCUUUAAACUUCUAAACGAAUCCAGGUAGUGGUACGUUUGCUUGGGCAUUACGAGCCAGAUGCCAAGAGCAUAACCUAUGUCGUACUCCAGGGAACACCAUUUCCAAUGCCUUUCUCAUAGCUCGGUCCCCAUCAAUAACCACAGAUAUUGGCUUUUUGUUCAUCAUACAUUCUAAAAAUGUGGUCAAAGACCAAAUAUAGCUUUCAGCAUCUUCAUUUGUGAGCAAUGCUAAUGCAAAAAUGGUGGUCAUGUGAUGAUGGUUCACACCAAUGAAAACCAAAAGAGGCAAAUUAAAUGUGUUUUUCUUAUAAGUUGUGUCAUAUGCCAAAACAUCACCGAAACAAGCAUAAUCUAAUCUUGAUAUAGAAUCAGCCCAAAAUAAAUUCUUUAGUUUGUUAUCAUCAUAAGUCGUGUGCUUCAUGUAGAAUCCAUUAUCUAUUUCUUUUUUCACUCCAAAAUAUAACAGCGUUGCUUGAACAUCACCAUCAUUUACUUUAGCAUGUCUUUCGGCUGCCAUACGAUUAUAAAAAUCUUUACGAGUAAAACCAACAUUUUGAAUGCCCCCCACUUGAGCUGAAAAAACAUUCAUCACUUGACACGUUUUGAUACCUGCAACUUUCAUAGCUUUUGCUUCAUAGACAUCAGCUACUUUAAUAUGCCUAUUCAAACAAAUAAAACAUAUUUGAGCGGGAUUUACCAUUUGAUGAUUAUGUUCAAGUUCACAAUGUGAAACAUACCAUUUUCCUGUAUCUUUGUUUAGAAUGAUCCGAAUGUUAGCCUUGCAAUCUGUUCUAGAUCACCUUUUAGGUUCUCGCACCCGGUUCUCUAGCUUUUCCCAUUUUUCAGCCCUAUGUCCUUCCUUCGAACAAGCAAAAUGCUUCAUAACUUCAAUUCCAUUUUUGUUUCGCCUACAGCUACCUUUUUGAACACCAAGGCCCAUGGCACAAGCAUAUGCUUUAUAAAAUUCAUAAACAUCUUCUAAAUCAUCAAACUCCAAACCUAGUAUUUCAUCUUUUGAAAGUUCAUGCAAAUAUUUUGCAUCUGACAAAUUAUUUUCUUUACUCUCCAUUAACCUACACAUAUUAAACAUAAAUAAUAUAUAAUUACGACCUUAAAUACUCAUGAAAUAUUUAAUAAAAAACUUACUACACUAUAAUAAUAUUGGAGGAUAAGUAUAAAAAGUAGUAUAAUGAAAAUUAUCAAAUUCACAAUACCAAAGCUAGUAUAAUUUAAUGGUUUAGGGUUUAGUAUAUAAGUUUUAAGGUGUAGCAUUUUGGGUAUAAGGAUUGAGUAUUAUUGUUAACAAUACCUGCACGAGGUGAGCAUGGUGGGGAGAGCAAAGUUAAAGAAAACACAGCACGUACAACAAAAUAGACAAUUGAUAGGAUAGUGGUAAGCAGACCAAACGUCAGGGUGCCAGUAGAAAUUGCUUUAUAAUGCUUGUGAAGACCAUCUCCAACGUCUGGCAGAAAACUCCCUUAGUGGAGGAGAGUCAUCUCUUUAAUGGACUCUACAAUGAUAUAACAGAAGUUGGCCUUGGUAUAGUAUCUUGUUCUGCAAACUGUUUGACGAAGGAUGGGCUUGCUGUUGUAAAGCUAGUACAGCAAAAUUGUCCAGUUAUUGAAGGUGAAUAUGAGGGUCCUCCACCUCCAACCUCUGGCAAAAAAUUCCUUUAGUAGGGGAAACUCCUUCUUUUGAAGGACUUUUUUUUUAUGCCGUUUUAAUAGAAACCAUUUAUCUGCUUUGCUUUUAGUCAAUGGCUAAAAUUUUAUAUUAUAAAUAGGAUUGACAUUAUAAUAAAUCAGCAAAUCAAAAUUGAAAAUGUAUAACAACAAAAAUAAAAACACAUGUAAUUUAAAGUUAUCAUUAAAAAGCCUAAACAUUACGAUUAAAAAUCAUUAACGUAAAGUAAUAAGAAUUUACAUAAAAACUCAUAAAAGAGAAAUAACUAAAUUUUAAAUCUUAACAUAAAUAUGUGAAAGUUAACAUAACAAGUCAAUUAAGUUAAAAAAAUCUAAAUUUAAUGAAAAAUAAAUAUUUAAAUUUAUAUUCUAGGGCUAAAAGUGUUUAAUGAUAUAAAGAUUUUAAUUUUUAAAUAAAGAAUAAUAAGGAUAAAAAUAAUUAUAGUUCAAAAUUGACGUAGAAAAGCCUUAUCGUAAAACUGUAAAGAAUUGACGUAAAAACUUAUAAAAGUUGAAUAACUAAAUUUUAAAUCUUAACAUAAAUGUAUGAGAGUUAACGUAACAAGUCAAUUAAGUAAAAAAAAUCUAAAUCUAAUAAAAGAAAAUAUUUAAAUUUAUACUCUCGGGGCUGAAAGUGUUUAACGAUAAAAAAAUUUUAAUUUUUCAAUUAAGAAUAAGAAGGAUAAAAAUAAUUAUAGUUCAAAGUUGACAUUGAGCUUUGACGUAAAAUUGUAAGAAUUGACGUUAAAACUUGUAAAGGUAGAAUAACUAAAUUUUAAAUCUUAACGUAAGUUUGUGAGAGUUAACGUAAUAAGUCAACUAAGUAAAAAUAAUCUAAAUUUAAUAAAAACAAAUAUUUAAUUUAUAUUCUCAGGCUGAAAGUGUUUAACGACAUAAUAAAUAAAGAAUAAUAAGAAUAAAAAUAAUUAUAGUUCAAAAUUGAUGUAGAAAAGUUUUAACGUAAAACUGUAAGAAUUGACGUAAAAACUUAUAAAAGUGGAAUAACUAAAUUAUAAAUCUUAAUGUAAACGUGUGAGAGUUAACGUAAUAAGUCAAUUAAGUAAAAACAACAUAAAUUUAAUGAAAAAUAAAUAUUUAAAUUUAUAUUUUUUGAUUGAAAGUGUUUAAUGAUAAAGAAAUUUUAAUUUUUAAAUAAAGAAUAAUAAGGAUAAAAAUUAUGAUAGUUCAAAGUUGAUAUGAAAAAGCCUUGACAUAAAACUGUAAGAAUUGACGUAAAAACUUGUAAAAGUGAAAUUACUAAAUUUUAAAUCUUAACGUAAAUGUAUGAGACUUUACGUAACAAGUCAAUCAAGUAAAAAAAAUUUAAAUUUAAUAAAAGCAAAUAUUUAAAUUUAUAUUCUCUAGCUAAAAAUGUUUAACGAUAUACGAAUUUUAAUUUUUAAAUUAAGAAUAAUAAAGAUAAAAAAAAUUAUAGUUCAAAGUUGACAUGAAAAAGCCUUGACGUAAAACUGUAAGAAUUGACGUAAAAACUUGUAAAGUUGAAAUAACUAAAUUUUAAAUCUUAGUGUAAAUGUAUGAGAGUUAACAUAACAAGUCAACCAAGUAAAAAAAAUCUAAAUUUAAUAAAAAAAUAUUUAAAUUUAUAUUCUCGAGCUGAAAGUGUUUAACGAUAUACAAAUUUUAAGUUUUGAAUUAAGAAUAAUAAAGAUAAAAAUAAUUAUAGUUCAAAAUUGAUAUGAAAAAGUCUUAACGUAAAACUGUAAGAAUUGAAGUAAAAACUUGUAAAUGUGGAAUAAUUAAAUUUUAAGUCUUAACGUGAGAGUUAACAUAACAAGUCAAUUAAGUAAAAAUAAUCUAAAUUUAAUAAAAAGAAAAUAUUUAAAUUUAUAUUCUCAGGCUGAAAAUGUUUACCCAUAUAAAAAAUUUAAUUUUUAAAUUAAGAAUAAUAAGGAUAAAAAUAAUUAUAGUUCAAAGUUGACAUGGAAAAUCUUGAUGUAAAACUGUAAAAAUUGACGUAAAAACUUAUAAAUGUGGAAUAACUAAAUUUUAAAUCUUAACGUAAGUGUGUGAGAGUUAACGUAACAAGUCAAUUAAGUAAAAACAAUCUAAAUUUAAUAAAAAUAAAUAUUUAAAUUUAUGUUUUCAGACUAAAAGUGUUUAACAAUAUACAAAUUUUAAUUUUUAAACAAAGAUAAUAAGGAUAAAAAUAAUUAUAGUUCAAAAUUAGCAUAGAAAAGCAUUGACGUAAAACUGCAAGAAUUGACGUAAAAACUUAUAAGAGUAAAAUAACUAAAUUUUAAAUCUUAACAUAAGUGUGUGGGAGUUAACGUAUAAGUCAAUUAAGUAAAAAAAAUCUAUAUUUAAUAAAAAAUAAAUAUUUAAAUUUCUAUUUUCUCAAGCAAUAAGUGUUUAACGAUAUGCAAAUUUUAAUUUUUAAAUAAAAAAUAAUAAUGAUAAAAAUAAUUAUAGUUCAAAAUUGACGUAGGAAAGUCCUGACGUAAAACUGUAAGAAUUGACGUAAAAACUUGUAAAAGUGGAAUAACUAAAUUUUAAAUCUUAACGUAAGCGUGUGAGAGUUAACAUAACAAGCCAAUUAAGUAAAAACAAUCUAAUUUUAAUGAAAAAUAAAUAUUUAAAUUUAUACUCUCGGGUUCAAAAUAUUUAACGAUAUACAAAUUUUAAUUUUUAAAUAAAAAAUAAUAAGGAUAAGAAUAAUUAUAGUUUAAAGUUACUAUUAGAAGGGUUUGACGUUAAGUUGUAAGAAUUGACGUAAAAUCUUAUAAAGGUAUAAUAAACAUAUUUAAAAUCUUAACGUUAAUCUGUAAGAGUUAAUGUAACUAGUAAUAAGAAUAAAUUUUAUUGAAUUAAAUUAAUUAAAUAUAAUUUUAACAUUAAAAUAAAAUUAUUUUUAUAAUUUAUAGUAAAUAAUAAAAUAAAAUUAAAAGUAAAAUAACUUUUAAAAUAACUUAAAUAAGUUUAAAAAUUAUCUACGUUAUUAUCUUAAAAUAGAUAAGUUUAAAAAUUAUAUAUGUUAUUUACCUAUUAACCUGUUAUACAUGCUUUUUAUUUAUUUUUUAAAAAAUUUUUAAUUAUUGACCUUACAGUAAAGGUAAACUUACUGUAGUGUUCAUGUAAAAGUGUAAAGCCAAUACUGAUAAUAUAUGUUACUAAUUCUAUAUGUUAUGUUAUUUAUCACUUACCAGGACUAGUUGAAUGUAAAUUGUUGUCUAGCUGUUCUGUAGUUUUAUGGUAAUGAUGGUCUAAAAUUUCAAUGGCAAUUCGAGUUGUUAGUCAAUCUGCCUAACAUUAUCUUACUAGGUAUCUUGUCGGUAAUGCAAGAUGCAUAUAGUCAAAAAAGAAAAUAGUGGUAUUACUAUUCUAGUUAAAAGCUUGUCCUAGAUUGAAAGCAAUGUGUUCAUUGAUAAUUCAAUCUAAAUUAUUUUAGCACCAACCAAUCACCAGUGCUAAUGGCCGACGAGAACUCUCAAUAAAUUGGCAGAAAAGCGUUGCAUCUUCCUGUCAAUCACUCAGAAAUUCAUCAAAAUAAUUAGUCUCCUCAAACCCAUAAUUCAUUUCAUUCUUCUUUCUUCAUCUAUCAACUAUUUUGAUCACUAAAUCAUGGGAAAUUUCUGCUUAAUCUCAAUCUCAACGGACAACACAGUCUCUGCUUGCUGGGAUUGCAUUGCUGGGCAAGCAAGUUACGCAUGUGGCAUUAUUCAUCUUAAAAUUAAGAUGGAGACUGAAAUCUUCAAAUUUUCUAUUGAACAAAUAAUAAUGCUAUAUUUCCAAUGAAAUGAUGUGGCAUACAAAUAAAAUUUUGAAGGACAAGUACUUGGGAAUAGAUUAUUUUAUGAUGCACAAUCUUCUAACUUGGAAAGGAGUCCUUUAGUGGUGUCUAGCGACUAAGGUGGUGAACGAGAAUGCUGCUGUAAAUUAAGAUGAGGGAAUGGCUGUGCUUUAAAAUGAAGAUCCACAAUAGAAUGUGGUUUUCUAGAAAACUUUUACAAAUAAAUUCAGCACUUCUUAGUAUGGCUAUGUAGGCUGGAGUGGGUGAUGACCAAUAGAAAGAGAUGUAAGAAGAAUAUGAUCAAUGAUAUAUAAUGUGUGUGAGGGGGUUAAGAUUAAUCCAUGCGCUUAGAAGGUUCUGGUUAGCUGCUGCAUAAGCUUAGGCGGCUGUGUUCCAUGGGGAUAUAAUCUGUAGCUUUUUUUUUUUAAAUUGAGGGAAGGGGACUCGAAUCAUAUUUUUUAAAUAGACAGAUCAUACACCAACCAAUAAGUUAAAUGUUCAAGUGUUUAUGAUCUAUAGUUUUGCUUUUCUAACCGUUCAUGACAGUAAAGUUUAUUAGAUGGAUGAUUGUGCAGGAGGAUGUUGUUUGGACUACAAUCCAUGUGAUCAUCCUUGUGUGUUUUUGGAGUGUGAGGAAUUGACACUAACAAUAGAGAUGUUGUCUAAAUGGCUGAGAACACAGGUCAUAAAAUAUUUCAAACUUCCUGAGAAAAAAAUGUUAAGAAACUAGGAUUAAUCACGUCUGCUUGGUCUGGUUUACAUAAAUGACAUGGGAGAAUGCAAGAAUGCUUUUUAUACAAAAUAAUUGGUACAUUUAUGCUAUGCACCAAAUACAAUAUUUAAGGCUAAUGCAAUCUAAUUAUGUAAGGUUGUCAGACAUGAAUUGAAUUUCCAAGAAUUCAUAUGUUAUAGAAGAAAAGAAAAAACAACCUUGUGCAUUAUUUAAAGGCUUCGACAUUGUGGUUUACAAUGUUAAUUCAUCCAGUAUGGCAACUAGUAAAUUUUCCUUGCUUGGAAGGACCCAGUAAUCUUUAAUUCCUCAUCGUCUUCAUUACAUGUAUAGCAAACACAACAUAUUUGGGAACAACUAUAGAAGCACUAAUAAAUUUUUCUGCACAUUUGCCUGUGUUCUUAUUCUUUGGGCAGAGACUGGUGAGUAAACAAGUUAGUCAGUUUGAUGAUAGCUACAUGUAUUUUGAAAUCAACAUUGAAAGAAAGGAGGGAUAUGCUGGAAAGAGCUAGCAUGGGAGGAUUUAGGUCUAAUAAAUUUCUGGUGCGUGGACAAGUCAUGUUGGAUGUUCUGAAAACUCCCAUCUUUGUUUGUUCAUAUGGGUUUUAGUUCUGAAGACUCCCAGGUAAGCAUGUAGCCUAAUUUCUUGUACACACGAAAAUUUAAUGUAAUUUUUUGAUACGAUAUGUCUCAAAAAAAAUAUGUGUUUUUUAGUUAUUUAUAUGAUAGUUUAUUGAUUUUAAAAAUUUGAUUUUUAUGUUGUUCUUUACUGAAUUUAAAAUUUUGUUUGUUCUUAAUUAUGAGUGAACCUGAAUUUUAAUUUUAAUAUUUAUUUGAUUUUAUAUUUUGAAUUAUUAAUAAAUUACAUAUAUUAGAUGUGACAUAAAUUUCAUGGGUUGGGUUUGGGUUGAUUAAUUGAAUAUCCAUAAACUAAAGAGAUUUGAAAUAUCAAGACUUAACAAGUUCGGAUAUUUAAAGAGGAUUACUCAUUUAAUUUGUGUAAGAUUCAGAUAGUAACUUUCAAAUAUUAAUAGAGUAUUUAUAGGGUUCGAUUAUUUAGGUAAAUUAUAAGAUUUGGAUAUGAAUAAUUAAAAAAUAACUAGUAUCUUAUUUGUUAUUAUUCCUAAACCUCACCUCCUUAAUUCAUAAAUGUUUUUAAAGUAAAAUUAAAUAAAUAGAGUAAACAUGAACUUAUUUGGACUUACAUUUUCAAUUCAUCCACUUCUAAUAUAUUUGGACUAGUUUGUAUUGCGGUAAUUGUGUUGGUUAUAAACUAUAGAAUAAAAAUCAAAUAGAAAGCAAUUUAAGAUGAAUUUGACUAAUUUUGUAUAUUUCAUCGAAUGUGUAUUAAUAAAAAAUUUAAAAAAUCCAUAUUACUCAUAUUUAAUGACAAUAAAAUUAUGUAAAAACCAAAUUAGUUAAUAAAAGUAUAUUAAAAUAAAUAACUAAACAUUUAUCCUGAUUUAUUACAAAUUAAAAUUUGAAUAUCUAUAACAUUUUGGGGCUUCUUCGCUUAACCACACGUAGACUUUAGUGAGUGCUUAGAAAGAGUAAACAACAUUUCUAAAAAAAAGCUGGACGAACUGCAUGCUAAGUGUCUUAUAUUUGAUCAAUCUGUGUGCAAUGUGGGUCAUACUCUAAUAAUUCUAAUAAUAAACCAGACAAAGCUGAGUCUACCAGAUUUCUCUUCUUUAAAUCUAAGCCCCAACCUAGCUUGGUCCGCCCAUUCAAAUAAAAUCCAAGAGCAUAACUCUAUCUCCGAACAUUACGAAGCAAAGGAGGAAACUCCAAGAGGUCAAGUAAGCUCAGUUCUUGUGAGGAUGGCUCUUUCAUGCACCAGAUUGUGGGGUGCUUCGACAAAGUUCAAUCUAAAUUAUUUUAGUAUUAAUCAACAAUUCCAAUGCUAAUGGUCGAUAAAAACUAUAUGUCAAUGCAUUAGUCAGUAUUAUUAGUUGUAUCUUCCUUGAUCACUCAGGAAAUCAUCAAAACAAUUAGUCUCCUCAAACCCACAAUUCAUUUCAUUCUUCUUUCUUCAUCUAUCAGAUAUUUUGAUCAUGGGCAAUUUGUGCUCAGUCUCAAUCUCAAUGGAGGGCACUGUCUCUCGUUGCUGGGAUUGCGUUGUUGGACAAGCAAGUUACACAUGCAAGCUUGAAGAUAAUCUUAAAGCUCUGAGGAAGGAAUUAGAGGAACUGCAAGCGCGAAGGGAUGACGUGAACCGGAGGGUAGAUCUUGCUGAACAACAACGUAUGAAGCGGCUCAACGAAAUUCGACUCUGGCUUUCAAGGGUGCAGACUGCGGAAGCAGAAGCUGAGGUGUUGAUCAAAGAUGGUCCUCAACAAAUUCAGAAAUUAUGUUUUGCUGGCUGCUUCUCCAAGAAUUGUAAGUCUAGCUACAACUUUGGUAAACAAGUGACUAGAAAACUUACAGAAAUAGUUGAUCUAAAGAAUGCAUGAGUUUUUGAAAGGGUAGCUGAGAAUGAACUUGCAGCCCAAGUGGAUGUAAGACCCGUCGGAUCCACGGUGGGUUUGGAACGGACAUUUGAUGAAGUCUGGCGCUUACUUGAACAAAAUAAUGUGGGUAGUAUUGGGUUACAUGGCUUGGGAGGAGUUGGUAAAACAACACUCUUGACACAAAUUAACAACAAGUUAAGCAAUGACCUAAUCGGUUAUGAUGUCGUAAUUUGGGUGGUGGUGUCUAAAGAUCACAACAUCGAGAAAGUUCAAGAAAAAAUUGGUGAAAAGGUUGGCCUUUCUCAUAACGAGACAUGGAAGAAUAAAAGUUUUGAUGAGAAAGCUAUAGAAAUUUGGAGAGUUUUGAGCAAAAAAAAGUUUUUUCUGCUGUUGGAUGAUGUGUGGGAAAGGGUGGAUUUGAUCAAAGUUGGAAUACCUGAACCAGAUCAGGAAAAUGGUUCUAAAUUAAUUUUUACAACUCGCUUCUUAGCUGUAUGUGGACAAAUGGGAGCUCAUAAGGUUAUCAAAGUAGAGUGUUUAAGCAAAGAUGACGCUUGGAAAUUGUUUAAAGAUAAGGUUGGGGAAGAAACCCUUGACAGCCAUCUAGAGAUUCGAGGGCUGGCUAAACAAGUUGUUGAUGAGUGUGAAGGACUACCUCUUGCACUGAUUACAAUUGGUCGUGCCAUGGCUUACAAGAUGACGCCUAAACAUUGGGAAUAUGCAAUUAAGGUACUGCAAGAGUUUCCGCAUAAAUUAGCAAGCAUGGAUAAAAAGGUGUAUUCUCUUUUAAAAUUUAGUUAUGAUAACUUACCUAAGAAUACGAUGAGAUCUUGUCUUUUAUACUGUAGUUUGUAUCCCGAAGAUUUUGAAAUUCCCAUUGAUGAGCUAAAAGAUUAUUGGUUUUGCGAGGGAUUUUUGGACGAAUUUGACAACAUAAUUGAUGCUCGAAUGCAAGGGGAGGACAUUAUCAAUUCUCUUCUUAAUGCUUGUUUAUUAGAAAGAUGUAAAGAUUCUGCAGAAUGUGUAAAGAUGCAUGAUGUGAUCCGUGACAUGACUUUAUGGAUAGCAUGUGAGUGUGAAGCACUCGAGAAGAGAUUUUUUGUAAAAACAGGGCUAAGAGCAAUUAAGGCAUUUGAUGUUGAAAAUUGGGAAGGUGUAAGAAUGUCAUUGAUGUAUUGUCAAAUUAAAGAUUUACGAGGAACACCUACAUGCCCUAAUCUUCAAACUUUAUUUCUCAAUAGUUGUAGAUUGAAGGUGAUUAGUGAUGGUUUCUUCCAAUUUAUGCGCAAUCUGAGAGUUCUAAACUUGUCAUCAAACUACUUGCUUAAGGAGUUGCCACAGGGAAUUUCAGAACUGAUUUCACUAGAAUGCCUCGAUCUACAUGAGACAUACAUAUCAGAGUUACCAAUUCAGCUGAAUAAGUUAUCAAAACUGAAAUAUUUGGACUUGAGGCGGACAUCCCAUCUCCAUAAAAUCCCACAACAAUUGAUAUGUAAAUUUUCAAUGUUGCAAAUAUUCAAAAUGUCUCCGAUCAAUUUUAUCGACGUUGGAAUAGACAAUGCCCUAAGUAGCAGUGGAGAUAGUUUAAUAGAGGAAUUGAAAUGCUUGCAACAUUUGAAGGUGCUGUGGAUAGAAAUACGCACUGAUUUUGCUCUUGAAAGCCUUUUGAGCUGCCACAACUUACGAGGAUGCACUGAGGGACUAUACCUUCGAGGUUUGAGGGAGACAAAGGUAUUCAGUGUUUUGUUUUCAGAAAAUAUGGAGCGUUUAAGGAACCUACAAAUUAUGGAGUGUGAUAGCAUAGAAGAGAUGGUAACAAGGAAUAUAGACAAGGAAUUAGGGGAAAGAAGAAUGAUACAAACCUCCUCGCCUUUUCCCACUAAUAGUAAUACUAUCACUCCUUGCUUUCAUGCACUGAGCAAGAUUUCAAUAUACAGUUGUCGUAGCUUGAGGAACCUGACAUGGCUUAUGUUUGCUCCAAAUCUGACGCAGCUUGAGGUAGCCUGGUGCGAAAGAAUGAAAGAAAUAAUAAGUGAAGUGAGUGAAGUUGCAAAUGUGGUUGGAAUUUCGAAUCCAAGCCCAUUUGCUAAGCUAGAAAGGCUUCAUUUAGAAACUCUACUUGAAUUGAAGAGCAUAUACAGGGAUGCCCUACCCUUUCCAUGCUUGAGAGAAAUCAUAGUAUUGGACUGCCCAAAAUUGAAGAAGCUUCCGCUCAACUGUGACAGUGCAAAGGGAAAUCAAAUCAGCAUUGUAGGAAAUGAAGAGUGGUGGAAACAGGUUCAAUGGAAGGAUGAUGUCACUCGAUCUAUUUUUUUACCCUCUUUCAGACUUCCAUCACGAUCAUCUAAAGAGCCAGAUUGGAAGGAUGAAGCCAAUCUAAAUGCUUUCGACAUCUUAUUCUAAAGACCGCAGAGGAAAGGUGCGUGAUAUUUCAAAAGCAAUUUUUCCUUUAUUUUUCUCUCUUAUAUUAUCAUUGUCUUCAAAGGUGAGAUAGCAUGCUAACUGUUUGCUAUAGUAAGGUCUCUAAAAUUCCUAUCCUAGUAGUAUUUAAUUUAUUCAUCAAUCAUUCUAAUCUUCUUACAACUACAAUAAUCACUUCUAUUUCUUUUGUUUCUUUACUAAUUUUAAAAGUUCAAACUAUCUCCAACACUACUCACAAUAACACCAAAAUCAACAAAUUUUCUAUUGAACAAAGAAUAAUGCAAUAUCUUCAAUGAAAUGAUGUGGUAUAGAAAUAGAAUUUUGAAGGGCUAGUGCUUGGGAAUGGAUUCUUACAUGAUGCACAAUCAUCUGCUUGAUAUGGUUUACAUAAAUGACAUUGGAAAAUUCAAGAUUAAUGCUCUUAAUACAAAAUAAUUGGUACAUUUAUGCUACACACCAAAUGCUAUAUUGAAGGCCAAUGCAUCAUAAUUAUGUAAGGUUGUCAGACAUGAAUUGAAUUUCCAAGAAUUCAUAUGUUAUACAGGAAAAGAAGAACAACCUUCUGCAUUAAUAAAGGCUUCAACAUUCUGGUUUACAAUGUUAAUUCAUCCAGUAUGGUAACUAUAAAUUUUCCUUGCUUGGAAGGAUCCAGUAACCUUGAAUUCUUCAUCGUCUUCAUUACAUGUACAGCAAACACUAUAUAUUUGGGAACAACUACAGAAGCACUAAUAAAUUUUUCUACAUGUUUGCAUGUCUUCUUAUUCUUUGGGCAGAGACUGGUGCAUGGACAAAUCAAUCAGCUUGAUGAUAGCUACAUGUAUAUUGAAAUCAACAUUGAAAGAAAGGAGGGAUUCUGGAAAGAGAGAGAAUGGGACGAUUUAGGUCUAAAUUUCUGGAGUUAUAAAACAAUGAAGAACUUAUCACAAAGUAUUGUUACUUUUUUCUUUUCUCUUUUCAACUCUAGUUUGCCAUGGACUUUCAAGAAUGUAAUUUGUAUGCUCUAUUUUGUGUGGUUGUAUUGUUUAUAUCAUAUCCGAAACUUGAUUUGUUUGGUGAAAUUUGCAUUUACAUCUAUCAUUUGAUAUUUCUCAACUAAAAUGAAACAAGAUUAGACCUGUUUUCUUGUAAAUUGCUGCUUGCUGCAUUUUAGUUCUUGUCGUGAGGUUUGUCAUCUAAAUCAUUGCUGCUUGCUGCAUUUGGUAUGGUGAAUGUCAGAAGCUGACUAAUGACACGGCUUGUUUUAGAAAUUUUGGGAUCACAAAUGGUGAUCAUGUUUUGUUAUGAUGAAUACAUUUGUUUAGUUUUAUGGAGGUUGUGAAUUUGAAUAAUAGUAGUAUUUUUACAAUUUGGAAGAUUGGACUGAACCAUAGCUAAAAGGUUGUAUGUUCUCACUGUCAUGGGUUAAUUACAUUUAGCAUUCGAACUAUCGAGUUGAUAUCUAAAGUUUAAAGAUUUGCAAUCAAGUAUUAUUUUUGUUAAGCAAUUUGCAGUUUUAACUAACAACAUUAGUUGUAUGAUAAAUACACUUUUUGUCUACAUGAAACAGUUUGUUUUAGCAGCUGAAUUACAAAACAAAGAGAAAGGAAUUGCAAAUGAAUGGAUAUCUAGUUAUACAGGCAAAUGAUUUGGGUUCAUAACAUAAAGUCGUACCUUGCAUUGGCUGUUUCGAGCACUGCACUUGUCAGCUGCUAAGUCCAA
rnacentral:lncRNA from 1 species